GGCCUAAACUACUCAUAAAUGAGUGGCAUGGUCUCAAAACGUUGAACACAGAAAGCUCCUAGUCAGAGCACGUGUUCAACGUCAUAUUUCGAAAGGAAUGUGGGUCUCCAAGAGAUC
rnacentral:sRNA from 1 species